rnacentral:lncRNA from 1 species
CUGCGGAAUUCCCCAGGAGGAGUGGCAGCAGGUGGAGUCUGCACAGAGGACCCUGUACAGAGACGUGGUGAUGCUGGAGAACUACAGUUGCCUUGUCUGAUCCUAUCACCAGGAGUUUUCCCUGCUGCUGUCUGCCUUAGCAAAUCCUGUCUCACCGGAACCCACAAGAAGUCCUCCUCUUCAUGGAAACUGAUGAUCCUUCCUCUUGCCCAUGAACCCACCUGGAGGAGUCAAGCCCAGCAUGGAUGCCAGAGUGCCAAAGGUGAAAAGCAGGAAAGCCAAAAUACUCAUCAAGACCAAAGGGGGAGCACAGAGCCAGAAGCUGGGAGGAGAAAGGGAGUCAAGAAAGUCAAUGCCAGGGCUUUCUGCACUCUGCCCUGUGGAUUUCUACAACGUUGUUUUCAUAUUUGGCAAUUGUUCCUCACUGAAUGAAUUACGACUAUGCCAAAUUCUUGUAUUAAAAAUAAUUUUAAAUGAAUAAAGGCAUUCUAUUAUUAAAGUUAACUACUUUCUUUCUUCACAUAUUCACAAGAGAUACCAUAGAUCUUACUUGAAGUUCUCAUAAACUUAAAAAAUCACCACCAAGGAAUAAGCUUCUGAUUAUUCAAGUGACCACACUAACCAAAGACUGAUCCACUGGUUUUUUUCCCUCUUCCUCUGAGAGAUGCUCAUCACAGGUCUUAAUUUUUCCAAUAGGGUCUAAAACAGGGAUCAGGAAACUCUAGACCAAAUCUGGCCAGCAGCCUUUUUCUGUAAAUAAUCCCUAUGGGACACGGCCCCCCCAUCAACAUCAGCACUGUCCCUGCUGCGUUUGUGCUAUGACAGUGCAGUGGAGCAGUCGCAACAGAGAGCAAACGGCCUGCAGAGCAGAAGACUUUUACUAUCUGGCCUUUCAUGGAAAAAGUUUGCCAACCCUGCAUUACAAUAUGUUUCUAAAUAUUCUUUGACUAUCAGUUAAGCUCCGAGCUCCUUGAAAGCACAGACCAAAUAGGAUUUCUCCUUGUGUCUUCGUUGCCCAUCAUACUGUCUUAUUGGAAAGAAAUGCCCAAGUUCAGAAAGAAUGAAAGUAACCUAAUCUGUCUGUAUAAAUAAUCAUACUCCCCUCACCCGCGACCUUAGAGACUAUGGGAAAGAACCACUGAAAACCAGGGAUAGGGUGAUUUCCUAUCAGGACAAUUUGGUUUUGAUUUUCAGGAAAAUCUGUAUCAAUAGGGCAAACUGACCUUGGUGGCGGCAACCGGUUGCUUCUGUUCUUGGUCCAGCAAUCCAGGGGUGGGAAGGCAGGGAUGUGAGGGAAGGACCCACGCAGCCUUUCUGCCCCAAGAGCAUCUUCAUACCUGUGAUUUCCCACAAGUCUUUGUAAGGACGUCGCCGUGUCAGGUGCUGGGCAGCUUGGCAGAGGACUGGCUCAGCGGCAUGCUGGGGACAUCUGUGUUCCCCACUCACUCAUCCCAGCAGGCAGAGUCUGUUUGACAUUUGAUAAUACAUGAAGAGGGUUCUGGGGAAGCACAUGGAGCCUCUCCUCUGUUCUGCUUCUGCCUUGGUUUGGAUGCUCUUGGUUGACUUUCCCUACAUGUGUAAAUCUGGGAAAUGACUGGAAUGUAAAUUCAUUUUUUAAAGGUUCUUGGAUCUAAUACUUUGUUUGAGUAGGCAUUGGAAAGGCCUCAGGCAAAUACUCUUGGCUUGUUUCCUUAAUAACCAAGCCAGAUGUGGCAAAUUUGUACUAAGUUUAUUACCACUCUGACCACUUAUUGCACUUCUGCUGUCAGACAUCACUAGUAGAUCACUGUGUUCAUUCAGAAAAAGCCUCAGAAUCCUUCUUAACAUGUUCCAAGCAGCCAUCAGCAGUUAGUCAGAAUUGGCACAUGAGAUGAAACCUUAUUUUCCGAAGCUAGUUUUGCAUAUUUCUAAAUGUGAGAAUCUUAUUCCAUCCUUUAGUUUUUCCAUAGCUCUUCAUGUGGUAAUUGAUCCAGGCCUGAAGGCAGGAACUGGGGAUGCCUGGCAAACCAAGGCAUUCUCAUCAGAGUGCAGAGCACAGACAAGGUGUGAGGUGACCAGAUGUAGUGAAGCAGAGUGUGCACUGGAAAGUCACAUGCAGGCGACCUGGAAUAGGAGGGAGGAGCCAGGUUAAUGUGGGCAUUGGAUCCAGGCCAAGACAUUUGAAUGUGAUUUGGAAAGUCAGUGUUCCUAAAGGCUGGUAAGCAUGUCAGGGUUCUCCAGAGAAACAGAACCAAUAGGAGAGGAUAUGUAUACACACACACACACACACACGUAGAAAGUGAGACAGAGAUAGACAGUGGAGUGGUGGUGAUUUAUUUUAAGGAAUUGGCUCAUGUGAUUGUGGAACCUGGCAAGUUCAAAAUCUGCCAUCAGGCCAGCAGGCUAGAAAUUCUGGCAGGAGUCGAGGCUGCAGUCUUCGAUCUGAAGGCCGUCUGGAGGCAGAGUUUCUUCCUCUUCAGGGGACCUCAGUCUUUUCUCGCGAGUCCUUCAACUGAUUGGAUGAGGCCCACACACAUUGUGGAGGGCCAUCUGCUUUACUCACAGUUUACUGAUAUAAAUGCUGAUCCCAUACAGAAAACACCAGAACUGCAACAUUGACUGGUAUUUGACCAAACAACGGGGCAACAUAGCCUAGCCAAGUUGACACAUUAAAAUUAACCACCACAGUCAGCAUAGGUGAUUUUCAGUGGGAGACAUUCAUAUUUUCAAAUUUGUAUUAAAUAUUUUAAUUUCAUUUACAAAAAACUUUUGACUUCACAGAAAUAUUGGUUAGAACAAAGAUAAAUUUAUAGUAAAUAAAUAUUAGGCACAGAUGGUAUAUGGAUAUAGU